CCUACGGGAGGCAGCAGUGGGGAAUAUUGGGCAAUGGGCGCAAGCCUGACCCAGCAACGCCGCGUGAAGGAAGAAGGCUUUCGGGUUGUAAACUUCUUUUGUCAGGGAAGAGUAGAAGACGGUACCUGACGAAUAAGCCCCGGCUAACUACGUUCCAGCAGCCGGGGUAAUACGUCGGUGGCAAGCGUUGUCCGGAUUUUCUGGGUGUAAAGGGCGUGGAGACGGGUUGACAAGUCAGAUGUGAAAUCCUGCGGCUUAACCGCAGAACUGCAUUUGAAACUGUUGAUCUUGAUUACUGGAGAGGCAGACGGAAUUCCUAGUGUAGCGGUGAAAGGCGUAGAUAUUAGGAGGAACACCAGUGGCGAAGGCGGUCUGCUGGACAGCAACUGACGGUGAGGCGCGAAAGCGUGGGGAGCAAACAGGAUUAGAUACCCCGGUAGUC
rnacentral:rRNA from 1 species